CCAAAAACAAAAUAUUCAGUCAAAUGUUUUUCAACACUUUCGACAAGAUCAUCUACAAUGUCAGCCUUAAAAUUCGAGUCUUU